UCCUCUAAAACAGGCAACGUAUUUGGGCCUAAUUCAGAAAGGCCCAAUGGGCUGAGAACGAGUCGGGGGUUGACUAGGUUUCUCUUCCCAGGUAGCUCUUGCUCUUCGUUCUCAAAGACGUUUCUCCGAUCGAUCUAAUGGGAGAUGAUGAUGACAAAGAAAGAAUUGCUGCAAGUGUUCGAAAAUACGAAUGGGAGAGCUCUUUGUCCUUGCACUCAUUAGAUUCUACAUCACAAACUCAUGCAUGCCUUUUUGCUUCAUGUUUAUGUUUAGUAAAAAACUAUUUAGAUUUCUAAAUGUUUGAUCUUGAGUUGUGUGAAUCUAAAACGUUUACGAGUGUUUGAUGAAACUGAAUUGAAAUUGAAGUCUUUCUGCAGCUUUUAGAAACUCUCAAGUAGCUAUCUUCCCACUGUUCUUAAAAAAUGGGUCGUUUGAGCUCACAUUUGAUGAUCUUUACUUCAACAACUUGUAGAGGUUCUGCGCUCGGACACACCUCAAGUCUAAGACCAUGGUUUUGAGUUUUGAUGUAUUGCUUCUCUGUAAAGUGGGAAUGCAAAACCCUUUUCUGCACAAAUCUUUUUCUUUCUUGUCUACAAUGAUGAAAGCUUAAUCUUAAUAAUGAAGAAAAUUAACAUGUUUCUUGCUUGAGACAAUCAUUUAUGGAA